UAACCUGCCUAUUAGAGGGGGAUAACUAUUGGAAACGAUAGCUAAUACCGCAUAACAGUAUGUAACACAUGUUAGAUGCUUGAAAGAUGCAACUGCAUCGCUAGUAGAUGGACCUGCGUUGUAUUAGCUAGUAGGUAGGGUAAUGGCCUACCUAGGCGACGAUACAUAGCCGACCUGAGAGGGUGAUCGGCCACACUGGGACUGAGACACGGCCCAG
rnacentral:rRNA from 1 species